rnacentral:rRNA from 1 species
GCCUACGGGGGGCAGCAGUGGGGAAUAUUGCACAAUGGGGGAAACCCUGAUGCAGCAACGCCGCGUGAGUGAAGAAGUCAUUCGUGAUGUAAAGCUCUAUCAGCAGGGAAGAAAAUGACGGUACCUGGGUAAGAAGCCCCGGCUAACUACGUGCCAGCAGCCGCGGUAAUACGUAGGGGGCAAGCGUUAUCCGGAUUUACUGGGUGUAAAGGGAGCGUAGACGGCCAGACAAGUCUGAAGUGA